rnacentral:tRNA from 1 species
GCCCCGGUGGCCGAGUGGAUUAGGCGCGGGACUUCUAAUCCCGUCUACGCAGGUUCGAAUCCUGCCCGGGGUA